UAACUGGCCUGUGGAAGCCGAGCGUUUGAAGCAGCUGUGCUUCUUCCUUCAGUGUCCGCUCUUCCUGUCAUUGCGGAGCAGGACACGUCAAGCGUUGGAUUGUUCACCCACCAAUAAAGAAUGCGAACUGGGUUU
rnacentral:ncRNA from 1 species